rnacentral:rRNA from 1 species
CCUCGGAGAGUUUGAUCCUGGCUCAGGACGAACGCUGGCGGCGUGCCUAAUACAUGCAAGUCGAGCGGACAGAAGGGAGCUUGCUCCCGGAUGUUAGCGGCGGACGGGUGAGUAACACGUGGGUAACCU